rnacentral:rRNA from 1 species
AAUUUUGGACAAUGGGCGCAAGCCUGAUCCAGCCAUGCCGCGUGAGUGAAGAAGGCCNNNGGUUUNACAAGCUCUUCCGGACGNAACNAAAGCGCGCAGACUAAUACCCUGCAAGGCUGUCGGUACCGACUUUAGAAACACAGGAUAACUAAGCGCUAGCAGCCGCGGUAAUACGUAGGGUGGGAGCGUUAAUCGGAUUUACUGGGCGUAAAGCGUGCACGGACGGUUUAUUAAGACAGGCGUGAAAUCCCCGGGCUUAACCUGGGAACUGCGCUUGGGACUGGUCAGCUAGAGUACGGCAGAGGGGGGUGGAAUUCCACGUGUAGCAGUGAAAUGCGUAGAGAUGUGGAGGAACACCGAUGGCGAAGGCAGCCCCCUGGGCCGAUACUGACGCUCAUGCACGAAAGCGUGGGUAGCAAACAGG